rnacentral:tRNA from 2 species
GCCGGAGUGGUGAAAUUGGUAGACGCAGAGGACUCAAAAUCCUCCGACCUUACGGUCAUCCGAGUUCGAUUCUCGGCUCCGGCACCA